AGAGCGAACGCUGGCGGCAGGCCUAAAACAUGCAAGUCGAACGAGCCCUUCGGGGUUAGUGGCGGACGGGUGAGUAACACGUGGGAACGUGCCUUUUGGUUCGGAACAACUCAGGGAAACUUGAGCUAAUACCGAAUGUGCCCUUCGGGGGAAAGAUUUAUCGCCAUUAGAGCGGCCCGCGUCUGAUUAGCUAGUUGGUGAGGUAAAGGCUCACCAAGGCUUCGAUCAGUAGCUGGUCUGAGAGGAUGAUCAGCCACACUGGGACUGAGACACGGCCCAGACUCCUACGGGAGGCAGCAGUUAGGAAUCUUGCGCAAUGGGCGAAAGCCUGACGCAGCCAUGCCGCGUGAAUGAUGAAGGUCUUAGGAUUGUAAAAUUCUUUCAGCGGGGACGAUAAUGACGGUACCCGCAGAAGAAGCUCCGGCUAACUUCGUGCCAGCAGCCGC
rnacentral:rRNA from 1 species